GAUGAACGCUGGCGGCGUGCCUAAUACAUGCAAGUCGAGCGAACGGACGAGAAGCUUGCUUCUCUGAUGUUAGCGGCGGACGGGUGAGUAACACGUGGAUAACCUACCUAUAAGACUGGGAUAACUUCGGGAAACCGGAUCUAAUACCGGAUAAUAUUUUGAACCGCAUGGUUCAAAAGUGAAAGACGGUCUUGCUGUCACUUAUAGAUGGAUCCGCGCUGCAUUAGCUAGUUGGUAAGGUAACGGCUUACCAAGGCGACGAUGCAUAGCCGACCUGAGAGGGUGAUCAGCCACACUGGAACUGAGACACGGUCCAGACUCCUACGGGAGGCAGCAGUAGGGAAUCUUCCGCAAUGGGCGAAAGCCUGACGGAGCAACGCCGCGUGAGUGAUGAAGGUCUUCGGAUCGUAAAACUCUGUUAUUAGGGAAGAACAUAUGUGUAAGUAACUGUGCACAUCUUGACGGUACCUAAUCAGAAAGCCACGGCUAACUACGUG
rnacentral:rRNA from 1 species